GUCGGAGAGGUUGAAAUCCGUGCCUGCAAGAUCGAAAUAUCGAGAGUUUAGAUGACUUACUGGAGGUCCCUGUGCUGCGAUCGCUGGCAUCAAACGCUGCUCGCAAGGGAUCCUUGGAACAUCGAUCACGCCUUCCAGCAUCUGGAGGACUCGGCUCAUCGAUGGUCUGUUGGAUGGAUC